rnacentral:lncRNA from 10 species
GACUGUACUAGUUUGUCUGGUUGGUCACAUUCUGUGAGCCAUGAACAAAGUUCAACAGGUCUAACUCAGGGUGACUAUCCACUCUUCCAUGUUGCUUAAAGAUCACCUGUUGAAACUCCUGGUUGGAGAACACCCCACCCCACUUUGAGUGGAUCAAAGACAACACGGGCCAACAGAGGCAAGUUUAAGCCUUGCCAGGUCAAUACUUGGAUGCUAAGCGGGGUGACUGGUGUCUGUGUUUUGUCAUGUGUAUUUUCCUCUGCCUGGAAUAAAAAACGUCAUUUUGGAUCCCCCAUGUAGCCUGGCUACAUCUUGCAAAAUGAGGUUUUUGACUAUGAUUCCAUGAAACAGAAAGAGAUGAUUUUCUUUUGUAAUGCAGCAUGGCCCCCACAGCUAUGGUACAGCAAGCAGCAUCACCAAAGCUGCUGAGAGAUAAGGAACCUGGAAAGCUAGCAUGCCGGCAAAAGGCCUGGGAUUCCUUAGGAGAAACAGAGGAGGUACCACGGGCCCCAUUUAGGGAAAAACCUGUUUUCCUCAUGAAACCCACAAAAUUGACACAACUGGAGACACUGAUUAUUUUACCAAGGCUUUGACUGGAAAUGGCAUGGUUUCAGGCUGCUUUGAGUAACUGAGGUUGACUUACAGAGCUGAUAACAGCCCCUUGGAAAUACUGGUCUCAUACCUUGUCCUUUACAGGGCUCCUAACCCGUAGUAAAUAAAGAAUGUCACUUUCUGACAGACCCAGGAAUCCCAAGUUAUUGUGGGACCUCAAGAAGAGAGAAAUUCACCCAAUUCAUACAGACCUUGGGAUCUCAACCUGGCACACAUGAAUACAUACCAACAAUUACAAGACAGUUUCACUCCUCUUACCCUGAGGGCAACUCCCACUCCAAAUCUGCCCCUGUGAGCAGGAAGAAGUUACAGUGGCUGUAGGCCUUUUUCCAUUUCCAUAACACACAGAUUAAAAAUAAGGUAUGAUGAAACCCAAAGGAGGGGGAUUAAAACUGUCUUUGCAAAAAUUGUAACAGUGAGAAAAUUCUGACCUAACCAAAUUCAGUCUUGCCUUUAACCUCCAAACUGCCCUUGGUCAUUUGAUAUGGUUUGGCUGUGCCCCCACCCAAAUCUCAUCUUGAAUUGUAGCUCUCACAAUUCCCACAUCGUGAGGGGGACCUGGUGGGAGAUAAUUGAAUCAUGAGGGUGAACCUUUAUCAUGCUCUUCUCAUGAUAGUGAAUAAGUCUCACAAGAUCUGAUGGUUUUAUAAAGAGGAGCGCCCCUGCACAAGUUCUGUGUUGCCUGCCAUCAUGUAAGACAUCCCUUGUUCUUCAGCCAUGAUUGUGAGGCCUCCCCAGCCAUGUGGAACUGUG